rnacentral:rRNA from 1 species
AGCGAACGCUGGCGGCAGGCCUAACACAUGCAAGUCGAACGAACCUUUCGGGGUUAGUGGCGGACGGGUGAGUAACACGUGGGAACGUGCCUUUAGGUUCGGAAUAACUCAGGGAAACUUGUGCUAAUACCGAAUGUGCCCUUCGGGGGAAAGAUUAAUCGCCUUUAGAGCGGCCCGCGUCUGAUUAGCUAGUUGGUUGAGGUAAUGGCUCACCAAGGCGACGAUCAGUAGCUGGUCUGAGAGGAUGAUCAGCCACAUUGGGACUGAGACACGGCCCAAACUCCUACGGGAGGCAGCAGUGGGGAAUCUUGCGCAAUGGGCGAAAGCCUGACGCAGCCAUGCCGCGUGAAUGAAGAAGGUCUUAGGAUUGUAAAAUUCUUUCACCGGGGACGAUAAUGACGGUACCCGGAGAAGAAGCCCCGGCUAACUUCGUG